rnacentral:rRNA from 1 species
GAUGAACGCUGGCGGCGUGCCUAAUACAUGCAAGUCGAACGCACAGCGAAAGGUGCUUGCACCUUUCAAGUGAGUGGCGAACGGGUGAGUAACACGUGGACAACCUGCCUCAAGGCUGGGGAUAACAUUUGGAAACAGAUGCUACUACCGAAUAAAACUUAGUGUCGCAUGACACAAAGUUAAAAGGCGCUUCGGCGUCACCUAGAGAUGGAUCCGCGGUGCAUUAGUUAGUUGGUGGGGUAAAGGCCUACCAAGACAAUGAUGCAUAGCCGAGUUGAGAGACUGAUCGGCCACAUUGGGACUGAGACACGGCCCAAACUCCUACGGGAGGCUGCAGUAGGGAAUCUUCCACAAUGGGCGAAAGCCUGAUGGAGCAACGCCGCGUGUGUGAUGAAGGCUUUCGGGUCGUAAAGCACUGUUGUAUGGGAAGAACAGCUAGAAUAGGAAAUGAUUUUAGUUUGACGGUACCAUACCAGAAAGGGACGGCUAAAUACGUG